GGGUGCUCCGCAGUUCCUCAAUCUGACGCUGAAGAGUGCAGUUUUCACCCAACAGGGUUAUGUUCUCUGACUUUAUUGCGUUGUUUUUUUCCUCAUACUCCUGCUCUUUUGAGAACUUGUUUUCCAGGGCCUUGUGUUGCUUUUUGAGAUUGUUAUUCAGUCUGGUUGCAACUUUUAUAUCUGUCUUCAUCGAUUUGUAGUUGGAUUUGUAGGCGUCCAGAUCUUGGAGACUGUUCGUUAGACUGAGGAUAUUCUCUUUCCAUUCAUUGUUCUUCAGCUCCAAGGCGUCCUUUAGUUCCCUCUGUGUGUCGUAGCCAGACUUCCAUUCUUUUUGGCUCAGUAGCUUGCUGGUGGCCUCCGUGUGGGCCUUAAUCAACUGUUGCUGCUGUGCCUCCAGAACAGUCUGCUGGACUUUCAGUUGCGCUGCCAAAGACUCUCUGGACGUGAGCUCUUCAUUGAGGGCCUGGAUUUUCAGUUUUAAAUCAUUAUUUGUUCCCUCCAAAGCGUCCUUACGUUGUUUUGCGUCCUGAUUUUCACGCCGUUGGUUUUCAACUUUCAGUUUCAUUUCGCUCUCUUCAUCCUGCAGAUCGAAAAGCUGUAUUUCUAACCCCUGUGUCUUUGCAAUCAGCACCUUAUUCUUACAUUCCAGAUGUUUGUAAUCCGACUCAAUGGAAUCUUUUUGGGCGGUCAGGAAUUCCACCGUACGUUCCAUAGACUUCUUCUUCUCAUUAAGAUGAUGGGCGUCUCGUUUACUGGCCUCUGAAAAAAGGUUAAAUUCAUUGGUUACCUUUUGCAGUUCGGUCUCCAGGAGCUUAACUUUUCUCUCGUACUCAUCGUGUUCCUGUGUUAGGGACGCAGCGUUUGCCUCCUCGCGUUUUAAGUGCUCCAACUUUUUCUGCUGCUUUUCCAGUUGUUCUUGCAGCUUUUCAUGUUUGGACGACAGUUCUUGGAUUGAGGCUUUUUUUUCUUUGUACAUUGAGUGAAAAUGUUGAUGAUUUUUGACCUUAUCAAUGACACUCUUGACCUCUUUUUGAAGGGUUUCACAUUUUCUCCUAGCCAUGCCUUCCUCCUGCCUGUGUUGCUCAUACUUGUCGUUUUUAACCACCAAAGAUUCCCAUCCUGCGACCUUUAUUCCGCUCAUGCAAAUUUUGAUGCGCAUAGACUUGAGAACUUCGGAGAUCUCCCUCAGGUUCAUAUAUUCUGCGUUGUACUGUUCCGCUGACUCUGCUUGUCCCUGGUCUGAAACCGGCAGAUUUGUUGUAUGUCCUUGAGCCAUUUCUCCUGUUUGAUUUAAAUGUUGGAUAAAAUACUUUAAAUCGUUCUAUUGUCAGUGUUCAAAAGAUUAUGAACUGAGGCAGGACCAGGAGCAAAAUGCGUGCAGCUGUCAAGGACUCCAGAGGAGUUAUGAGGAAUGUUCACAUCAAAGAGCAAUGACGUAGGGAUGUUCACGUCAAAGAGCAAUGACGUAGGGAUGUUCGCAUCAAAGAGCAAUGACGUAGGGAUGUUCACGUCAAAGAGCAAUGACGUAGGGACGUGUUGUGUUCCGAUUGGCUGAAAGGUAGCCGUUCCCUUGGCAACCGGGAACUACCUAUGAUGCGCUCGCAAGCCCCGCCCCUCCCUCCCCGUGCUCACGCUGAGCGCCAAACGGCUGCAGCAUCAGACACACAGGUGAUGACGGUGUUCGUGGAAUCCCUCUGUAGUAGUUCACAUAUACUACGGUCAUGUUGGCCAUAGAUUAAGAGCCGUUUGACGGAAUAACUUUCGCGGAGAAACUCGAGGUGAAAGAGGUGGACCGGGAUCAGCCGGACCUCACGAUCAGACAACGGACCGGUGUGAAAGGGAAGCCGAGGUUUCUACGCCGGGAGGUUUAGCUAGUUAGCUACGUGCUAACCGCCGGUCCGCAUGACGUCACCGCGCUAAAGUUAACAUCGCUGCCCAGCUGCGACGCACACAGGACCGCGGUGAGGACACACAACCAGGACGUGGAUGAAAACAGGCACAUUUUAACCAAAAUAGUUCGUUGUGUAAAGUUUUGUGGGGCUUUUGAGUUGGUCUUUCCUCAACACACUGAUGUUUCCCCAACAAACUAGGUUCAUAGGUGCAUCUAAAUAUAUACGUAUAUAUUUUUUUUUCUUCUAAUUUUAUAUAAAUAUAUUUAUACUGUAAUAUAAUAUAUUUAUAUUGGAUAUUUAUAGCAGUCAUGGUAGUUAUCAUAUUCUGGAUAUUGUUUUAUAAGUUAUAUUUAUAUAUUCAUGUAUGUACUGAAUUGUUUGAAUAAGAUAAGAUGUCCUUAUUAUGUUGAACUUGUAGUAGUCCACAUAUACUACGGUAAUGUUGGCCAUAGUAUUAAGGUAAUUACGGUAUCUGUAUGAGCCACUUCACUAUCUGUAUACCGGCAUUCGAGUUAUAAGUAAACGGAAAACAGACGUAUCUUCUCCCUGUCUCCGUGUGCCCUUCCGGAACGGAAAGGACCUCUGACCUAUGGAGUGCAAAAAGGUCAACGCCAAGUCAAGGUGCAUGUGGAUCACCUUCGGGCAUCUAAAGCUUCAACACGUCCAAGCAGAAUGGAUGACAGUGAUUUCCUGGACUGCACAGCAAGCUCUGAGGACCAAGCAGAAAGCACGGAGGAAGAAGAUGCAGCUGCUAGUGCAUCUCCGGAAGCUCAACCGGAGCGCCGCUAUCCUGAAAGACAGCCAACAGCACCAGAAAGACUGAAUCUCUAAAUGUUCAUGUAGAGAUAAUGACUUAUUUAGUCAGUAAUUAUGUUCAGACUGCUUACUGUUAUGAUUAUGAAGUUUAGGGUAUGUUACUGUUAAUUGAACCCUGCAUAUGUAGUUUAAGGAAUGACUAAUGCAAUGAAGUAUGUAGUCUGGCUAUGUAUGUUAUAAUCUAGGAGGGAGGAGUGUAGUAGUUCACAUAUACUACGGUAAUGUUGGCCAUAGUAUUAAGGUAAUUACGGUAAUUAUCUUCUCCCUGUACGUGCGCCCUUCCUUCACCUACAAAUAUUACAAAACUGUUUAUUUAACUGCAAAGUAAUGAUGUGUAUUUGAUACCCUUUUUUGCGUUGAAUCAUACAGGGAUGUUUACUGAAACUGAUUGGCUGGCAAAAAUAAAAUAAAUAAUUUUAAUUUUAAUAUUAAAUAAUAAUUUAAUAUAAUUUUUUAUAAAUAAAUAUACGUAAGUAUAUGUAUGAAGAAGGUUCUCGAGGCACCGGAGGGGGGGUGUGGUAACUGACGGUCGCUGGAGGGAGGCCUUGUUCUGGGUGCAAACUGGACAAGCGGCCACAAACCCCUCCGUGUCCCUCUCAAGUGAUGGCCACCAGAAGCGCUGCCUGAAGAAGCAGACCAUCCGCCUGACCUCUGGCCGACAUGUGAUUUAAGGGGCAUGUAUCAAGGGCAUCCUUUUUUAAUUUGGUACAACCGAUUUAAUAAAGAAUAGUUGAUAGCUUAAGUAAUUAAGUGAAGUAAGUAAAGUCAUUUAAGAACCUUUUAGGCUGUCUUGUGGCUGUUUUUUUUUAACACUAUAUAGAUAUUAGGCUGCAAAGCCAUUGUAUUAUUGUUUGAUUAAACAUUAGGGUUUUUGAAUCGCUCUUAGUCUGGACUCUCCCCUGAGACCUGCUGUCUUUUAUGUGGGAAAUCCAUAGAUGGAGGAAAACCCCACAGUUGAACCCAAUUCGAUUUGUGUUUUGUUUUUUGUUUUUUAAUGGGAGAAAAUGGGGUGGCGAGUUGCGUUUUUUUUUUUUAAAUAGAAAAUAAAAGAUAACAUUUUAAAAUAAAAAUAAAUAAAUAAAAAAUAUAACUUUUUAAAAUAAAAUAAAAAAAUACAAAGAAUAAAAAAAUAAAAAAAAUAAAAUAUAACUUUUUAAAAUAAAAUAAAUAAAAUAAAAUAUAACUUUUUAAAAUAAAAUAAAUAAAAUAUAAUAUAACUUUUUAAAAUAAAAUAAAAAAAAUAAAAUCUAACUUUUUGGCAUUUGAGGACCCAACUCCUCAUUCAAUCUGUAAUCAUGAAAAUGGGUAUAUUUUAUUCCCAGUGCUCCAGUAAGUGUUUUUUUCCAACGUCAUUGACAUUGGCGGAGCACAGCGCCUGAGACAUGAGGAAUCUUUUUUAUCUCAUUCAUUUCUUUCUUUCUUUGGCGAAAUGCAAGGCCGCAAAUGAAGAUGAGGGGAUUUCUGUAUCUGCGCAUAUACCCUGAACCCGGUCAUUUAGCCAAUGUUCGGAUAACCUCACACAGCCGGUUUGACAUAUCAAUAGUAACAACUUGUGAAGGUAGUCCAACAGUUUCAUUCGGUCGUCAUUGGAAACUAGUUAUACAUUAUGCAAGGUAGACACACAUGCCCCCCUCUAUACUUUGUAUUAAAGGCAUGGCUAGUGGUAAAAAAUAGCAUCUGUUAAAUAUAUUUAUGAUAUUUUAAUAUGAUAUUAUGUUAUAUAUUAAAUGUAAUGCUAUAUUUAUAAUAUUAGUUCUUUAUUAUGUUAAAUGGUAUUAGAAAUAUGGAAUGCGAUGCUAUUUUAUUUUAUUUCUACGGUAUUAAGUUGAAUUAUAUUAGAAAUAUGGAAUACAAUGCUAUUUUAUGAUAUUAG
ensembl:lncRNA